GACGAACGCUGGCGGCGUGCUUAACACAUGCAAGUCGAACGGAAAGGCGCGGCGUUUGUGGGUUGCUCGAUUGGCGAACGGGUGAGUAACACGUGAGUAACCUGCCCUUGACUUUGGGAGAACUUCAGGAAACUGGGGCGAAAACCGGAUAGGAUCUUCUGCUGCAUGGGGGGGGUUGGAAAGAGUCGGCGGUUGGGGAUGGACUCGCAGGUUAUCAGCUGGAUGGGGGGGUAGUUGCGUCCAAAGGCUUCGACGGGUAGCCGGCAUGGGAGGGUGACCAGCCACAUUGGGCCUGCGAUAGGGAGCAGAAUCGUACGGUAGGCAGCAGUCGGGAGUCUUACAGAAUGGCCGGACGCGAGAUGCAGAGACGCCGCGUGCGGGAUGCCGGCUUUCGGGUUGUAAACAGAUUUGGAAUGUGACGAAGCGUGCGUGACGGUAAUGGGUCAAGAAGCAACGGCUAACUACGUG
rnacentral:rRNA from 1 species